GACAGAGGGUGCAAACGUUGUUCGGAAUUACUGGGCGUAAAGCGCGUGUAGGCGGCUAAGUAAGUCGGGCGUGAAAUCCCACGGCUCAACCGUGGAAGUGCACUCGAAACUGCAUAGCUAGAGUCCUGGAGAGGAAGGUGGAAUGCUUGGUGUAGAGGUGAAAUUCGUAGAUAUCAAGCGGAACACCGGUAGCGAAGGCGGCCUUCUGGACAGUGACUGACGCUGAGACGCGAAAGCGUGGGGAGCAAACAGG
rnacentral:rRNA from 1 species